AUCACCUGGAGAUCCUGUGAAGGCACCGAUUGGAUUCAGUCAGUAGGCCUUGGUCUGAGAUUCUGCCUUUCUAACAAGCUCCCAAGAGAUGCCAGU
rnacentral:pre_miRNA from 1 species